GUUACAACUUGGGGUGAGUUUUUAAAUAUUCACUGAAAAAGCUGGAGAUUGUGAUGGUUUAAACAACGUGGUAUCUAAAUAGAUUCAGAAUUUUGGAGCUCAAAGAAAAUUUUCUGCUGGAGCAUGUACACAUAAUUUGAAGUGCCAAGCUCCACAAUUGGAGACUCCCACAGAAACCAGGCCUCAUCCAGACCGUAAACUAUGUCGUGUGAAAAACCAUCCAAUCUCCUGGUCAGACUAAUUGCUUUUAAUGAUACAUAAGCAUAUUCAGCCAGUAGUGGUCCUUUAGCGCCUACAAACAAACCAAUUUCCUAAUGCGAAGUUGCGCCAGAACGUAGCUACUUUAGCAGAUGUAUUAAAUAAAAUGAUAUGGGCCAGCUACAAAAGAGCUAAGCGCUUUCAAAGCCCUCUUAGCAUAGCAGAAAGUGCCAUACAAGCGACCACCACCAUUUAGCGGCUUGGAAGUUGACUUACCACACUUAUACAACCUAGUGCAGCACGUGGGUGGCCUGAAGAAAA